GUAGGGUGCAAGCGUUAAUCGGAAUUACUGGGCGUAAAGCGUGCGCAGGCGGCUUUGCAAGACAGAUGUGAAAUCCCCGGGCUUAACCUGGGAACUGCAUUUGUGACUGCAUGGCUAGAGUGCGGCAGAGGGGGAUGGAAUUCCGCGUGUAGCAGUGAAAUGCGUAGAUAUGCGGAGGAACACCGAUGGCGAAGGCAAUCCCCUGGGCCUGCACUGACGCUCAUGCACGAAAGCGUGGGGAGCAAACAGGAUUAGAUACCCUGGUAGUCCACGCCCUAAACGAUGUCAACUGGUUGUUGGACGGCUUGCUGUUCAGUAACGAAGCUAACGCGUGAAGUUGACCGCCUGGGGAGUACGGCCGCAAGGUUG
rnacentral:rRNA from 1 species